rnacentral:lncRNA from 1 species
ACAUUAAGAAACUUUUUAUCUUCUUCAAAUCUCCUACUGACCUGUAGACCCUGCAAUGAAUUACAAAUAUUAAAAGAACUUUCGAUAUCUAAUACCCAGAUAGUAGAAUCACAAAUUAAGAAAUUACAAGGUAUUAUCAUAUAAUUAUCUUAUCCAGCAAUAAUUUACUUCUUUCUCAAUCUGGUCAGAUCUAGGGAGGCAAUGUAUUGAGAACAAUUCCUCUUCCAGUGCCCUUACUUCUGGUAGUAGAAGUGUUCUGCCUGACUCUAGUCAGACUUAGAUUUCUUAGUCUGACAGGACGUGGGUGCCCUAGCACUUUGCAUCCUUUUUUU